rnacentral:rRNA from 1 species
UGGGGAAUUUUGGACAAUGGGCGCAAGCCUGAUCCAGCCAUGCCGCGUGCGGGAAGAAGGCCUUCGGGUUGUAAACCGCUUUUGCCAGGGAAGAAAUCUUCUGAGUUAAUACCUCGGGAGGAUGACGGUACCUGAAGAAUAAGCACCGGCUAACUACGUGCCAGCAGCCGCGGUAAUACGUAGGGUGCAAGCGUUAAUCGGAAUUACUGGGCGUAAAGCGUGCGCAGGCGGUUUUGUAAGACAGAGGUGAAAUCCCCGGGCUCAACCUGGGAACUGCCUUUGUGACUGCAAGGCUUGAGUGCGGCAGAGGGGGAUGGAAUUCCGCGUGUAGCAGUGAAAUGCGUAGAUAUGCGGAGGAACACCGAUGGCGAAGGCAAUCCCCUGGGCCUGCACUGACGCUCAUGCACGAAAGCGUGGGGAGCAAACAGGAUUAGAUACCCUGGUAGUCCACGCCCUAAACGAUGUCAACUGGUUGUUGGGAAGGUUCCUUCUCAGUAACGUAGCUAACGCGUGAAGUUGACCGCCUGGGGAGUACGGCCGCAAGGUUGAAACUCAAAUGAAUUGACGGGGUCAUAGCUGUUUCCU